rnacentral:rRNA from 1 species
GACGAACGCUGGCGGCGUGCUUAACACAUGCAAGUCGAACGAAGAGCGAUGGAAGCUUGCUUCUAUCAAUCUUAGUGGCGAACGGGUGAGUAACGCGUAAUCAACCUGCCCUUCAGAGGGGGACAACAGUUGGAAACGACUGCUAAUACCGCAUACGAUCUAAUCUCGGCAUCGAGGAAAGAUGAAAGGUGGCCUCUAUGUAUAAGCUAUCACUGAAGGAGGGGAUUGCGUCUGAUUAGCUAGUUGGAGGGGUAACGGCCCACCAAGGCGAUGAUCAGUAGCCGGUCUGAGAGGAUGAACGGCCACAUUGGGACUGAGACGCGGCCCAGACUCCUACGGGAGGCAGCAGUGGGGAAUCUUCCGCAAUGGACGAAAGUCUGACGGAGCAACGCCGCGUGAGUGAUGACGGCCUUCGGGUUGUAAAGCUCUGUUAAUCGGGACGAAAGGCCUUCUUGCGAAUAGUUAGAAGGAUUGACGGACCG